GGCCGGUGGCCUAGUGGUUUGAGUGCUGGACUAGGACUGUAGAGAUGAGGGUUCGAUUCCCAGCUCAGCCU